rnacentral:rRNA from 1 species
AACGUAGGAGGCGAGCGUUAUCCGGAAUUACUGGGUGUAAAGGGCGAGCAGGCGGUUGGAUAAGUUGGGUGUGAAAGCUCCCGGCUCAACUGGGAGAGGUUGCUCAAGACUGUUCGACUAGAGCGUGGUAGGGGAAGGCGGAAUUCCGGGUGUAGUGGUGAAAUGCGUAGAUAUCCGGAGGAACACCAGAGGCGAAAGCGGCCUUCUAGGCCACGGCUGACGCUCAGACGCGAAAGCUAGGGGAGCAAACGGG